UCGGGGAUCGUCUAAUGGCAGGACGUCAGACUCUGGAUCUGACUAUCAUGGUUCGAAUCCAUGUCCCCGAACCA
rnacentral:tRNA from 1 species